AGACGUCUACAUUAGAUACCCGGGUAGUCCUAGCCGUAAACGAUACUCGCUAGGUGUCGGCCACGGUGCGACCGUUGUCGGUGCCGUAGGGAAGCCGUGAAGCGAGCCACCUGGGAAGUACGGCCGCAAGGCUGAAACUUAAAGGAAUUGGCGGGGAGCACAACAACGGGUGGAGCUUGCGGUUUAAUUGGAUUCAACGCCGGAAAUCUUACCGGGACCGACAGCAACAUGAAGGCCAAGCUGAAGACUUUGCCGGAUUAGCUG
rnacentral:rRNA from 1 species